GUACGGGAGGCAGCAGUAAGGAAUAUUGCGCAAUGGGCGAAAGCCUGACGCAGCGACGCCGCGUGGGGGAUGAAGGUCUUCGGAUUGUAAACCCCUUUCGGGAGGGAAGAUGGAACGAGCAAUCGUUCGGACGGUACCUCCAGAAGCAGCCACGGCUAACUUCGUGCCAGCAGCCGCGGUAAUACGAAGGUGGCAAGCGUUGUUCGGAUUCACUGGGCGUACAGGGAGCGUAGGCGGUUGGGUAAGCCCUCCGUGAAAUCUCCGGGCCUAACCCGGAAAGUGCAGAGGGGACUGCUCGGCUUGAGGACGGGAGAGGAGCGCGGAAUUCCCGGUGUAGCGGUGAAAUGCGUAGAGAUCGGGAGGAAGGCCGGUGGCGAAGGCGGCGCUCUGGAACGUUUCUGACGCUGAGGCUCGAAAGCGUGGGGAGCAAACAGGAUUAGAUACCCGUGUAGUCCC
rnacentral:rRNA from 1 species